UGCAAGUCGAACGAUGAAGCUCCCAGCUUGCUGGGGGUGGAUUAGUGGCGAACGGGUGAGUAUCACGUGAGUAACCUGCCCUUGACUCUGGGAUAAGCCCGGGAAACUGGGUCUAAUACCGGAUAGGACUCCUCAUCGCAUGGUGGGGGGUUGAAAGAUUUUAUCGGUCUUGGAUGGGCUCGCGGCCUAUCAGCUUGACGGUGGGGUAGUGGCCUACCGUGGCUUUGACGGGUAGCCGGCCUGAGAGGGUGACCGGCCACACUGGGACUGAGACACGGCCCAGACUCCUACGGGAGGCAGCAGUGGGGAAUAUUGCACAAUGGGCGCAAGCCUGAUGCAGCGACGCCGCGUGCGGGAUGACGGCCUUCGGGUUGUAAACCGCUUUCAGUACAGAAGAAGCCCUUUUUGGGUGACGGUAUGUGCAGAAGAAGCGCCGGCUAACUACGUGCCAGCAGCCGCGGUAAUACGUAGGGCGCGAGCGUUAUCCGGAAUUAUUGGGCGUAAAGAGCUUGUAGGCGGUUUGUCACGUCUGCUGUGAAAGCCCGGGGCUUAACUCCGGGUGUGCAGUGGGUACGGGCAGGCUAGAGUGCA
rnacentral:rRNA from 1 species